rnacentral:sRNA from 1 species
GUCGCUGCCAAUUCAGCGACCGGGCUUGGUAACCCGAGGUAAAUCACUGCGCAACAGUGCCAUGCGUCCGCAGGCGCUUUUUUU